rnacentral:rRNA from 1 species
UACGAAGGGUGCAAGCGUUAAUCGGAAUUACUGGGCGUAAAGGGUGCGUAGGCGGUUGUUUAAGACUGUCGUGAAAUCCCCGGGCUCAACCUGGGAAUGGCGAUGGAUACUGGACAGCUAGAGUGUGUCAGAGGAUGGUGGAAUUCCCGGUGUAGCGGUGAAAUGCGUAGAGAUCGGGAGGAACAUCAGUGGCGAAGGCGGCCAUCUGGGACAACACUGACGCUGAAGCACGAAAGCGUGGGGAGCAAACAGG